UCAUCCCCUCAAAACUCAAAACUCAAAACUCUUUUUUCCUUGUACAUCUCGCGCAACUUGCUGUCGUUUUGAACGAAGAAGCUUUGGUUUUUUCUAAUCCAACUCAGGUUUUUUUCACGCAACAACAGGGGAGUUUAGAUCUACAAGUUAAUUUACGAGAUGAAAUUUGUUUAAGUUUAUUUUUAUCUCCAGACCUAAAAGUUAGGUUUUUCCCAAUAUUAGGCGCAAGUUGGUGUUGUUGUUUUGAAGGGAGAAGCUGGCAUGAGUGAGUGAGUAGGUGACACAACAGCAACAAGUGGAUGGAGCUAUGCUUGCUUGGGAAGUUGAAAACUUUGAACACAACACAAGAACCGCUUACCAGGGAGACAACCCAAUACCACUCCACUCCCCCAUAUACAAAUACCGCUUUCUUCUCUCUAUCUUCCCUUCCUGCCAUUAAAUAAAUAUAUGCAAUACUCUUUCAUACUACACAGAUAAACAAGAACCAUUUAUUACUAACAUCAUCAUCAUCAGCAUCAUCUUCAGCCCAUAAAAGUAAAAAACAAAACACUGGGCCUGGGGACCCCGCUCACUCUCAAGGUAUAAUUAAUAAGGAUGGAGUUUGAAAUGGUCCGGGGAAUAAGAUUGGAGCUGUGUGCUGGAAUUUGUGGUAAGCAAAAACGUUGUUGUUUUGACUCUUCCAAUUGAGUAACAUUUAGUACUUCAUUGAGUGCGAGAAAAAAAAAAUGGCAUUAAUUUUGGACAGUUUUCGCAUUGAAUAUUUUUGCACUUGGUACAUUGACAUGGAACAACUUUUUUCUUCUAGAGAGGGGAAGGGGUGAUGGUGAUUCGGUUGGUUCAUCUCCCUUUCCCUGAAUGAGUCACUGAUCUUGCCGUUUGGACUUCAUACUGCUUAAAUUUAAGUCGACAUUAUUUUGCGUCAUCUAUAUGGUGUCAAAAAAGGUUGUCGGGUGUAGUUCUCCCCAUUGUUUUAGAUUUCUAGGUUUUGCUUUUUAGUAUUUUCUAGGAAUAUAACCUGCACCUAUUAAAUUUGGACCCCAUGGUCGAUAUUAUUGGUUAUGGUCUUGGCCUUUUGGUCUAUUGCUUAGAAACUCAUCUAGCUAGCCAACAUCUUUUAAUCAAUUUUUAAGUUGAUCGAGAUUAUAGGUAUUGAUCGAUGGACAUGAAGUAUGGGAGGGGUGGCAUAAUGUUGUCCUCUAAAUUUUUAAUUGUUUGGUAUUGGAUCAAGGGUGGUCGACAUCUUGGACUCCUGAGAUGGAAAUUGUUGUUCAGCAUAUAUUUUAUGUAGCUUUUAUCUACAUGAUUUUCAAAUGCAAGUGACUAUACUCGGUGAGUUACAAUAAAUUUUAGGCUGAGGGGAUGAUAACACACCCAUAUAAUCCUGUGGGAACAAUUAUACACAUAUAUACUCACAUAAUACUUGUAACAUUAAGAAAAUAAAAUAAAAUAACUGCCACCCAUUAGCCAAUAUAAAGGUCCCUGACUAUGGAUCAAUUAACUGCGAACGAAAUUGCGUUCCAUCUUAUCACUGGAAAUGUGUAUAUCUGUAAUAAAGCUUGGUCAAGGAAGAUAUUACAAUGAUGAAAAUAACGAUUUUACUAAAAACAAGAUCAGUUUUAAAUAUUGCAUAUUUGAGCUUGUAGUAUCUUAGGUUUUCUGCUUGAAUGUAGCAUAUGCUGUCGUAAGGUUGAAUAUGUGUUUAUAUAGCUAGUAGCUGCGGUUCAAUUAACUAGUGCUUUUCUUUGUCUCUGACUUACACAACUUGCUUGUUAUUGUUGUUAAAUAAUUUAUUUAUUAUAAUUAUAGACUUACACUGUUACACAUAUAGGAAAUAGGAUUGUGGUCGAAGUAAUUUAUCCACAUUUAAAACUAGUUUAUUUUAACCGAAAAAAAAAAACCAAGUUCAUGUUGUGUCUGGGUUCAAUCCAUAGAUGCACACAGGCUUGACACUCGUCCCUGGGGUGGCAACCCUUAAAAUGAAACACCUGGCAUGACAUGCUAGAAAACUGGAGAUAAGAGUAAGAUAAUGACUCUGACAGAAUAGUGUGGGAGCUUGCCCUCUUGCUGAAUCAAACACCUGGCUUGUAGAAAACUUGAGAUAAUGCCUCUGACAAAAGAUUUUCGUUUUUAUAUGAAUUAUUGUAGAUUAUUUUAUAAAGAAAUUAAAAGUUUUUAUUGUUAAAAUUUUACACUUAAUCCAUUAAAACCUGUUUAUAUGAAUUGAUCGUGUCAAUUAUUUCGAUAUUUCGUACUAUGUACUAGUAGUAUCUAUAUGAUGUAAGUCGCCAUUGGGAAUUGAAUUACUGUUAAUACAUUUUUUUGGGUGAUAUAAGUCCUAAUAAAAUGGGAAUGAUUAGGAUUGAAAGGUGAAAGAGAAAUGAAAAAAGAGGAAAGUAAAAAAAAAAAAACAUUAUAAGUGAUGAAAAAAAUGAUAAAUAUAAUGUGAUAUGAAAUAGAGAGAUAUUUGAAGAAAAUGAAAUGAAAAUAAAAUAAAAAAGAAAGUGAACAAUUCUUUUUUUUUUUUUGUAAAAUAUGUGAUUUUAACGUUAUAUAUGUUUUUUUAUGUAUAAAAAUAUUUAUUAUCUUGGUGUUUAGUUACUUUGGUUAGUUGGGUGAGAGACAGAAAACUCAAACGAUCAAUUAAGAUACUUUCUUACAAGUACAUAUGAAUCAGUUGUGAAGUGUUAUAAUUGUUGAGCUUUGGCUUUAAGUAUGGAGAGACUUAUGAAAUAAUAUAUGUAGGUUGGUAGAACCUACGAAGGUCAAAAUAUCGAAUUGAGAAUUUGUAGAGGUAAAAUAUACUAACUGUGUGACUUGCAAUGGUGAGAAUACUAGAUGUAGAAUUUGCAGAGGUGAUAAUACUCGGUGUUAACCUACAAAGAUGAGAAUAUUGAGUGAUGUGCAGCCUACAAAGGCUAGUGUGAAAGCCUCUGAAGGCUUAAGGAUUACUAAUACCCAUGUAAUUGAUUUGUUUUGUAGUGAAAAUCCUGGGAGAUAAGAUCUGAAUGUUACCUGAAGAUGAGAGUGAAUCAAUUUAAAAAUAUUUGUGUAGUAUAUCCUUUCCUACUUUUUUCUUAUCUAUUUACUUUAUAGUUUAUAACUUGGAUAUUUCUUUUGUAACAUGAAAAGAUUUUAAUAUGAAUUGAACUCAGUAUUAUAAUUAA